AUUUUUAAUCUUUUAUGCUUUUCUUCUUUUUUUUUUUGGUCGCCAUCCUGUUCAUUUGUGUUUUCGAUUUUUUCUAUCCAUUUACAAUUUUGUUCCCUCGUUUCCUUGUUCGUUUUUGUUCGGUGUUGGGGUUGUUUCCAUUAUUUCAUCAGGUAAUUUUGGGAUUUUAAUAAGUUUAGGUUUUGGUGUAUCGUUAAACCUUGAUAUGGUAUCUGGUUCUUGUAGUGAUUAUAAUUAUUUCCCUUGGGUAUUCAUGGUUUGAUUGUUCUGUUGUUUUUCCUCAUUGUGAUACAAGUCUAACCAUUCUGAAAUCGUUGAUUAGGCGAAAGUGAUGAAAUGC
rnacentral:lncRNA from 1 species